rnacentral:sRNA from 1 species
UUGAUAGCUCUGGAGAGUCAGCUACCGCUUAGCCGCUUAGCAGGGACAGCACGCCAGUGGCAAUCCCAGCGUCCCUCACGGCAUUGCCUCAAUCCAUACUUGAGGGACCACCUCUAGGGUUAAAAGGGCAAUUCAGCUUCCAUGACUCCCAUUCAUCCUUGGCUUCU